rnacentral:rRNA from 1 species
CCUACGGGGGGCAGCAGUGAGGAAUAUUGGUCAAUGGCCGAGAGGCUGAACCAGCCAAGUCGCGUGAGGGAAGAAGGUCCAGCGUAUCGUAAACCUCUUUUGUCAGGGAACACAGGCGGGGACUAGUCCCCGGAUGAGUGUACCUGACGAAAAAGCAUCGGCUAACUCCGUGCCAGCAGCCGCGGUAAUACGGAGGAUGCGAGCGUUAUCCGGAUUUAUUGGGUUUAACGGGUGCGCAGGCGGCCUGUUAAGUCAGCGGUAAAAUCCCGGGGCUCAACCCCGGCGAGCCGUUGAAACUGGCGGGCUGGAGUUGGAGAGAAGUACGCGGAAUGCGAGGUGUAGCGGUGAAAUGCUUAGAGAUCGCGCAGAACCCCGAUUGCGAAGGCAGCGUACCGGCUCCACACUGACGCUGAGGCACGAAAGCGUGGGUAUCGAACAGGAUUAGAUACCCUUGUAGUC